rnacentral:rRNA from 1 species
GAUGAACGCUGGCGGCGUGCCUAAUACAUGCAAGUCGAACGGACGGACGAGAAGCUUGCCUCUCUGAUGUUAGCGGCGGACGGGUGAGUAACACGUGUAUAACCUACCUAUAGGACUGGGAGAACUUCGGGAAACCGGAGCUCAUACCGGAUAAUAUUUUGAACCGCAUGGUUCAAAAGUGAAAGAGGGUCUUGCGGUCACUGAUAGAUGGAUCCGCGCUGCAUUAGCUAGUUUGUAAGGUAACGGCUUACCAAGGCAACGAUGCAUAGCCGACCUGAGAGGGUGAUCGGCCACACUGGAACUGAGACACGGUCCAGACUCCUACGGGAGGCAGCAGUAGGGAAUCUUCCGCAAUGGGCGAAAGCCUGACGCAGCAACGCCGCGUGAGUGAUGAAGGUCUUCGGGUCGUAAAACUCUGUUAUUAGGGACGAACAUAUGUGUACGUAACUCUGCACAUCUUGACGGUACCUAAUCAGAAAGCCCCGGCUAACUACGUG